GAUGAACGCUAGCGGCAGGCCUAACACAUGCAAGUCGAGGGGUAACAGGGAUUGCUUGCAAUCCGCUGACGACCGGCGCACGGGUGCGUAACGCGUAUACAAUCUACCUUGUACUAGGGGAUAGCCUUUAGAAAUGAAGAUUAAUACCCUAUAGUCUAUUUGAAUGGCAUCGUUUAAAUAGUAAAGGUUACGGUACAAGAUGAGUAUGCGUCCUAUUAGUUAGUUGGUGUGGUAACGGCACACCAAGACUACGAUAGGUAGGGGCCCUGAGAGGGGGAUCCCCCACACUGGUACUGAGACACGGACCAG
rnacentral:rRNA from 1 species